UAUAUUGUCGGACUACAUCGUGAACAAUGGAAUAUUACAGUUGGAAUAUUAAACCUUAUAUUGAUGGGGAAAUUACUACCAAAAAAUGAUGAAGUAUAAAAGUUGAAUAGAUACAUUGAAGAUACUUCCCAGCGUAGAAUGAAAUACUAGGACAAAUGACAAAAACGUACUCUGCAAACAGAUGCAAUUACUUUCUUGCAUGAUACAUCUGGAAAUAUGUUUAAGGUGAAAGAAAUAUUAAACCUUAU